rnacentral:rRNA from 1 species
UCGAGCGACGAAUCGAGGUACUUGUACCAAGAUGAAGAGCGGCGAACGGGUGAGUAACGCGUGGGAAAUCUGCCGAGUAGCGGGGGACAACGUUUGGAAACGAACGCUAAUACCGCAUAACAAUGGGAAUCGCAUGAUUCUUAUUUAAAAGAAGCAAAAGCUUCACUACUUGAUGAUCCCGCGUUGUAUUAGCUAGUUGGUAGUGUAAAGGACUACCAAGGCGAUGAUACAUAGCCGGCCUGAGAGGGUGAACGGCCACACUGGGACUGAGACACGGCCCAGACUCCUACGGGAGGCAGCAGUAGGGAAUCUUCGGCAAUGGACGAAAGUCUGACCGAGCAACGCCGCGUGAGUGAAGAAGGUUUUCGGAUCGUAAAACUCUGUUGUUUGAGAAGAACGUUAAGUAGAGUGGAAAGUUACUUAAGUGACGGUAUCUAACCAGAAAGGGACGGCUAACUACGUGCCAGCAGCCGCGGUAAUACGUAGGUCCCGAGCGUUGUCCGGAUUUAUUGGGCGUAAAGGGAACGCAGGCGGUCUUUUAAGUCUGAUGUGAAAGCCUUCGGCUUAACCGGAGUAGUGCAUUGGAAACUGGGAGACUUGAGUGCAGAAGAGGAGAGUGGAACUCCAUGUGUAGCGGUGAAAUGCGUAGAUAUAUGGAAGAACACCAGUGGCGAAAGCGGC